rnacentral:tmRNA from 1 species
GGGGCUGCACCUGGUUUCGACGCGGGUUGGAAUCGCCUCAGGGCAUGUCGAGGUUCAGUCACCUCGUAAAACCGCUGAACCAAAGUAACUGCAAACGACGAACGUUUCGCACUCGCCGCCUAAACCGGCGAGCCUCGCAACAGCCUGCCGAUGGGCUGGGCAAGGGCGGUGCAAACCGUCCCGGCUGCGGGGGAAUCUCACACCGGCUGGCUCGCUGCCGUGCGCCUUGGCAGCGGGUGAGACGUAAGGGCGCUGGCUGCCUGGAUAGCGUGCGGCUGCGCGAUUCAGGUGGCGAGAUGAAAACAGACCGCUAAACAUGUAGAACUGGACGAGGAAGGUUUGCGGACGGGGGUUCAACUCCCCCCAGCUCCACCA